AGAUCCCAGGGUGCACUGAAUCUUUGGAAGUAUGUAACCUUGUGCUGAAUCUCCCAAGAGUGUUUCUUCCCAAGAAAAUGAAGACUCCUGAUUUUUCAGCCCUCCUUCCCGUUUGUAGAUGACCGCCACUUGCCUUGGUGCCUGUUUGUCUUCUGAUUUCUGUCUGCUCUGAUGGUUUUUCCAUGGGCUUAGUUUCCCCUCAAGGCAACCCUGCAAAGGAGUGUGGGAGAAUCAGACUCUGUGCAGAGCUGCCUGUUUUGCUGGGGCUGCUGUUGUUGUUCUUGUUGAUGUUAUCAUUAGCUAAAAGACCACAAAUUGCUCAGAGCCCCAGAGAGUGGAGCUGGGUUUCAGAUCUCCUGCAAGCUCAAUCUCUCUGUUUUGAACUUUGCUUCUUGCAUUUUGUUUCUUUCAGGGUGUGUGGUGAGUGUGGAAGAUCCAGAAAAGAAGUACACUGGAUGGGAACAUCUUGGCAGUGGGGGCUUUGGAGCUGUUUAUAAGGCCUUCGACACUGCCACAGGACAAGCGGUGGCUGUAAAGGAACUUUAUCUCCAGCACCAGGGCUGUGAGGGAAUAUUAAAAGAAAUCCUGCUCAUGAGAGAAAAUAAGAACGCCAGUAUUGUCAG